GUUAAAACACCGCUUCCCGUAUGACCACCGAAGUUAAGCAACGCCCAUUCUGGUUAGUACCUAGAUGGGUGACCGCUGAAGAGUACCAGGUGCUGGC